GACGAACGCUGGCGGCGUGCCUAAUACAUGCAAGUAGAACGCUGAAGAGAGGAGCUUGCUCUUCUUGGAUGAGUUGCGAACGGGUGAGUAACGCGUAGGUAACCUGCCUUGUAGCGGGGGAUAACUAUUGGAAACGAUAGCUAAUACCGCAUAACAAUGGAUGACCCAUGUCAUUUAUUUGAAAGGGGCAAAUGCUCCACUACAAGAUGGACCUGCGUUGUAUUAGCUAGUAGGUGAGGUAACGGCUCACCUAGGCGACGAUACAUAGCCUACCUGAGAGGGUGAUCGGCCACACUGGGACUGAGACAAGGCCCAGACUCCUACGGGAGGCAGCAGUAGGGAAUCUUCGGCAAUGGGGGCAACCCUGACCGAGCAACGCCGCAUGAGUGAAGAAGGUUUUCGGAUCGUAAAGCUCUGUUGUAAGUCAAGAACGAGUGUGAGAGUGGAAAGUUCACACUGUGACGGUAGCUGACCAGAAAGGGACGGCUAACUACGUG
rnacentral:rRNA from 1 species